rnacentral:rRNA from 1 species
UGGGGAAUUUUGCACAAUAGGGGAAACCCUGAUGCAGCGACGCCGCGUGAUUUAGAAGGCCUUCGGGUUGUAAAAAUCUUUUCUAUGGGAAGAAAAUGACAGUACCAUAGGAAUAAGGACCGGCUAAUUACGUGCCAGCAGCCGCGGUAAUACGUAAGGUCCGAGCGUUGUCCGGAAUCAUUGGGCGUAAAGGGUACGUAGGCGGGUAAGCAAGUUAGAAGUGAAAUCCUAUAGCUCAACUAUAGUAAGCUUUUAAAACUGCUCAUCUUGAGGUAUGGAAGGGAAAGUGGAAUUCCUAGUGUAGCGGUGAAAUGCGCAGAUAUUAGGAGGAAUACCGGUGGCGAAGGCGACUUUCUGGCCAUAACCUGACGCUGAGGUACGAAAGCGUGGGUAGCAAACAGG